UGUUUCGUCUUGAUUUGCGUUUCCUUGCCUCUUAGUCUCAUAUCUGGUAAUUUCUUGCUUAUUUUUGUGUCUACAGGUCCCUGACUGUUGAAGAAUGUGGAAUUGUGAAUAAUGAUCAUGGCUGGUCAAGAGAAGAGCAAGGAUGAACACCAACAUCUGGUUGGGAUUUGCAUGGGGAUGUGUCCCAAUGCAGAGGUGCGGCUGCGACAAAGAGAGAAAAUGAUCCACCCCUUGGAGAUGGCAAUUGACUCCAAUGGCCAACGACUGAACUACCCUCAGGCCCGGGCCAUGGUCAAGAUGUACUCCCGGCCCGCAGCUGGCCAGCAGAUCAAGGCCACAGAUAUUCGGCCGGUGCCUGUGCUGAUGAAGACUCUCAGAUAUUUAUUAGCAAAUGUGUGUUGCCGGAAGGAUGUGUCAUGGGCCUUGGUGUACCAGUUUGUGAGUGACCGGUUGCAGGCCAUCCGACAGGACUUGUGUGUGCAGAGAGGAAGGAAUGUCAUGGCCUUGCAGAUCUACCAGGCAGCUGUUAGAUUCUACAUAUAUGCUCAUUAUAGAACUUGUGAGCACGAGCUAAAAGAUUUUGAUCCAUUCCUCAAUAUGAAGCAGCUUGUUGAUACAUUGUCCCUUGUAAUGUCCCUCUAUCAAGAACUAGACUUGGUAAGCAGUAUUGUGGCACCAGACAAAGUGGAUCUUACAGACUACACUUCCUUCAAUGGCUAUGAUGAAGAAAGUGAAGAGGAGGACAGUGACAGUGACAGUAAAGUUGAUGAUGGAGCAGAAACCAAAAUAGUACAAGAUUCCAAAGCAAGUGAAAAAGGUACUUCGAGUGGGGGAGAAACUAUCCCAGGUUUGGAAGGAGAUAACAAUACUGUGGGGGAUCAUGAUGACAACAGUUCAGGAAGUGGCUCUGUUAAGGCUGGUAACACACAGGAGAGAGAGAAAGUUUUGCCAUCAGAAAGAAAAAACAAAAAGCAAUAUCAUGGGGAUACUGUUUCUUGCAGCAGCCUUCAGGAAGAAGGUGUAGCCUUGUACAUGCUGGUCAAUCUGGGUAAUGAAGAGACUAUCAUGAAUGUUCUGAGGCUCCAUCAAAACAUUAAAUGCUCCAAGCUUGUGAGUCUCACACUGAAGAUGAACCUUGCCUGGCUCUCCCAUAACUACUACAGAGUCCUGAAGCUCUCCACCUGUCUGCCACCUUUAUGUCAGUGUGCUUUCCAUAUUCACCUCACUGUGAUCCAGAGAAAAUCUCUUAGCAUCCUGAAUCAGUCCCACAGCUGCAAGGGACAAUCAUACAGUCUGGAGCAGCUGUCCGAGAUGCUGCUGUACAACAACAGUGAUCACCUUGCUGAGGCCUGCACGCACUACGGCCUCCCUGCCAUGAAUGGAGGUGUCGUCUUCACUAAAGGGAAGUUCAACUAUGAAGCUUCAUUGUUUGUUGUGUAGAUGAAGCCACGCCACACCAGGAGAAUCGAAGACCAGCUUGCUACUGUUCCCUUGCCUGGCUUGCUGCUGCCGACCUUGAGCCACUGACAUGAGAACAUGCUUUGUCUCACACCAGCUACCUAUCAGCCACUGGUAGUGUUAUGGUGACAUACAUGCAUCAGUCCAUUGUGGUGCUGCUUCCUUGGUCAUCCCGUUUGGAGUGUGGCUGACUGUCGUGAGCACCACCCGGGGCACCGCUGCCAGGAGUGAUUACUUCUUGAUGAAGCCUCUCACUCUUGUCAUGCACUUGUUGACAAAUGAUGACUUUCUCUGCAAGUCAUCAGUCGAAGCAAGUGAUGAGCGGCGAGAUGAUAUGAGGGAGGACCUGGGAGAGGAAGAUAGAUGGUGGUCGCUCCGCGAUUCUCCGUCAAUCCCACUCUCCUCCUCAGCUAUGGGGCUGCUGUCACAGGGGAUGCUGCUGAGUCUCCGCCUGGAAGGCCGUGGCUCCCUACUCUGCUGCACCUGUGACUGUUCUGGCUGCUGGUUGUGCUGCUGCUGCAGGUACUGUUCACACGAGGUGACGACAUCUGUCGCAGUCUCUGGGUCAGACGAAGCAGCAGCAUUGUUGUCAAGACCAGUGUCCAGGCUGAGAGAGCGUGACGGUGGCAGUGUGCGGCGCUGUGGCCGAGGCAGCAGGGGAGAGCUGGUGCCAGAGCCCCUUCCCCCCAUCCCACGGACAGCGACACGCAGUGCCGGGCUGACAGCCCUUCCAGCUCGCCUCAGUGGGGAAGCUGAGCGGGGGCUGCUGGUGGCUAAUAAUCUGCAGAGGAAAUAGUUUAGAUUUAGACUUUUCAAUGUAAUGUACCUUUCAAGUGAAUACUCAGUGUAGUUUGUGGUAUAGAAGUAAUAAUUUAAACAGCAAUCAUAAUUUACAAAACUUAGUUAUUACUUUAGAGAAUACAUAUUUAUGAAGAAGUCCAUAGGUAUUUUGUUUUGUUGAAAUUUUGUUGUUUUAUGCAUAAUUUUAAAUAGAGAUGAGCCAGGUACUGACCUCCUGUGUUUAACCAAUGCAGGGUCGCCCCGUCAGUCUUUGGGGUCCUUGUCUGAGCACGAGGAGCAUUUCCCUCCACUCUCUGUACUAGUUGUGCGCUGAUAUAGCGGAGGUGCGCGGGGAAGGUUGGAGGGGGUGCCAGGGGUGGCCAUACCGCCCUCCACACUCCUGUUGGUGUAGCGGCCGAGAGAAUCAUCGCCUCGCAUGAACCUCUCCAUCUUAUCCACGCAGGCAUUGUGGUACUCGUGGAUCCACCUAUGGGGAAACCACAAAAACAACAUGAGAUAUUGAAAUGUGAGGGUUUGAUCCUUACAUGUUUAGUUUUGAAGCCUUGGAAAGAUUAUGCUGAGAUGUAGAACUGUGAUGGUGUGUUAGUGCCAUGCAAGGGUUUCAGUGUUAUGGACCCUCAUUUUAUGCUCCAAUUACAGGUAUAGGAUGUUUUGCUUUUAUCUUGAAAUUUGUACCUAAAACAAGUCUAGAAUGUUGUGUGCAAGACUCACCUUACGCCAUUGAAGGAGCAGAUUGCCCUCAUGUCCUCAGGGAGUUCCUCUGGUUCUGGCCAUUGGAAGUUGUCAAUGAUAGGAAUAAUGUUACACCCGGCUUGCAGUGCUGCAACAAUCUCCUGCGGAUGAGAUAUUAAGUUAUUAGCAGUGUGAUCAAGCUCAAAUUGGUGUAAGUUAGCCUCAGCUUGUUUUACAAAAUUUAGUGUUUAGGCAAUGAGGUGAACUUACAAGUAGUGAUAACUGUACUAUGUGUGCCAUAACCAAUCAGGUCUUUCAAGACACUAGUAAUAAAUGAGAUUUCAUCAA